UCUUCCGUAGUAUAGUGGUCAGUAUGUGAGCUUGUCAAUGAGGCAAGUCCCCAUAACAACGCUCGAGACCCGGGUUCAAUUCCCGGCGGGAGAG